GCUUAGUAAUGAAGACAAAUAUAUUUCCCUAAGCGAUGAUCUGGAGCAGAAGGCUGCAGUGCUGAGCUACACCAUAGGUGAACAGACGUGAAGAGACGAGAGAAACCCAGAGAGUCAGGGAAGACCCACAUGAAACAUCAGAGCCAGGGUCACACAUUGUAACCCAAGAUGACCUGGAACUCCUUCUGUAGGCCAGGCUGGCCUUGAACUUGUGGCAAGCAUCCUGCCUUGGUCGCCAAAGAUCUGGGACUGAAAAUACAAAACACACCACCAACUUUAAAACUUCAGGGUAUUUACCCAGAGGUGGCUCAGGAUAAUGUGCUGCAUGGGAAACUCCUGUUUGAUGCAAGAAUAUUGUGUCCACUUUUACCAAAGUCGGGUGAAGCAAGUGAGUUUCAGUCACAGCAGAAACUGGAGUCACACAAUUCCCUGAGCUCUGCCUAUUGUUUGGCUGUGGGUCUCUGCAUCUGUCUCCAUCAGCUGCUGGGUGAAGUCUCUCUGGUGACAGUUCUGCAAUGCUCCUGUCUGCACGUAUGGCAGGAUGUCAUCGAUAGUGUCGGGGGUGAGACUGGCUAACAUGGAAAACUGAAGUGAUGGCUCAUACUGGAGAUGUGCGAAGGGAACACUCACUCCUCCGCCCCUAGCAGGAGAGCAAACUUAUGCAACGACUCUGGAAGUCAAUUUGUCAGUUUCUCAGAAAAUGGGGAAUAGUUCUACCUGAAGAUCCAACUAUACCAUCCUGGGCUCCAUCAUACCACAAGGACACAUGCUCAGCUAUGCUCACAGCAGCUUUAUUCAUAAUAGCUAGAAAACUGGAAACGACUUAGAUGUCCGUCAACCGAAGAAAGGAUAAAGAAAAUGUGGUCCAUUUACACAAUGGAAUAUUGCUCGGCUAUUAAAAACAAUGACAUCAUGAAAUUUGCAAGCAAAUGGAUGGAACUAGAAAAUAUCAUCCUGAGUGAGGUGACCCAGACCCAGAAAUAGAAACGUGUACAUGGAAGCCAUCAAUUUCAUCUGCACCACAACUCAGAAAAUAGGCUAAUGAGUCAACGACAAAGCUGUAAACAGUCUUCGACAUGGAUUGGCCUCGUGUUCCUCAACUUUGGAUGCACUUUGGAAUCACCUGAUACGGAGAUGACAGACAGAUGGAUGGAGGGACGGACGGACAGAUGGACAGAUUCUUCAGAGAAUCCAUUUAAUAAAUCUGGGCAAGUUUUUUUUUAAUUUGGGAGUAGCCCAAAAUAAUCUAGAACUCCCCAUUCUUCCACCUCAGCCCCCUGACAGGUUUGCAUCAGUAUACCAUAAAUGACAGUAGCUUUCACAAACUCUUCAGUGUGGUUCUAAUCUUUAGCCAGAGUUAAAUAUUAGUCUAAUCACCUAAGUUUAUUAACAAUAAAACUAAGGUUCAGAAUGCAUAAGAAACUUGACCAAAAUUUGGCCAGCAUGUCUCCACAUUUGGUUUUUUGUGGUUUGUGUGGUUUUGCUUUGAGACAGGGUCUAUCUAUAUAGUCCUGGCUGACCUGAAGUUCUCUCUGUAGACUAGACUAACUUCAAACCCACAAGCAUCCUUCUUCAUCUGCCUCGGGUGCACUAGGAUCAAUGAAAUGGGCCACCAUGCACUUGUAAUGCAUCCUGUAGACCCAGAGGUUCUUGGAUUCCAGGCCACCCUGAAAAGCACAAGGAGGAGGAAGGAGAGGGGGGAGAGACAACGGCAAUAAAAUGAUGGUGUUUAUAA